GACCUCGGAUCAGGUAGGGAUACCCGCUGAACUUAAGCAUAUCAAUAAGCGGAGGAAA
rnacentral:rRNA from 5 species